GUGGGGGGGAGAGCAUCUCAGUAGCUCAUAACCAUCCCACCAUUGUAGCUAAUAAAAUCCAGAAGAUAAUGAGCCCUAUUGAAUCUUGAUGAUGGUCAUGAUGGGCUAAAACAAAGAUCGUGAUGGGGUGGGGUUGGGGGAGCAUAAAAACCCUCCCUUUUAUUUCUUGGGAAACUAACAAGAGGAAAAACUUGUUUCUGAAAAAUUGGAUCGCAGCUGUAGUAGCAGAUAAGACUGACAUUCGGUUCUUCGAAAGAAGCAAUCAAUGUUGAAUGUAUCAGGUGAGUUCAUUUCUCUUGCUCUGCUUUAAUAGCUUAUAAAGAAGAUUGAUUAGGUUCUUGUCUGACAGAUCAAUAGUGGAAUGAAACUGAACUUCCCCUCUCUCUUCCCCAGCCCCCCCUCUCCCAGCAAACAUGGAUUCUCCAAAUACAAGGGGAUGUAGGGAGAUCUGGUGGGGAGAGAAAUGCCAUAAACUUCAAAUUAAAAAUAAAAAUCCUAUACUAAACUAACCAUGGCAACAAAUAGUGUAAUCAUGGCAGGCUACAUUCAUAAUAACAGAAAUGAAAAGAAGCAAAGAAAACGAAGUGUUGGCGUCUGCAGUGCCAGGUGUAAAGUGAGUGACAUCCUAUCCCAUUUUUUUUCUAUGCAAAGAGCUACAGCUUCCCAUAGACUGGGGAAGGGUUAGAUCAGCUGCCUUGCAUGCAGAAGUUUCCAGGUUCGAUCCCCACCAUCUUCAUGUAGGACUGGGAGAGCUCCGAGUCUAGAUGGUCUGACUCUACAAGUCUAUGAUGAUGAUGAUAAAAAUAAUAAUAAUUUAUUAUUUAUACCCCGCCCAUCUGGCUGGGUUUCCCCAGCCACUCUGGGCGGCUUCCAACAAAACACUAAAAUACAAUAACCUAUUAAACAUUAAAAGCUUCCCUAAAGAGGGCUGCCUUCAGAUGUCUUCUAAAAGUUUGGUUGUUAUUUUUCUCUUUGACAUCUGGUGGGAGGGCGUUCCACAGGGCGGGUGCCACUACCGAGAAGGCCCUCUGCCUGGUUCCCUGUAACUUGGCUUCUCGCAAGGAGGGAACUGCCAGAAGGCCCUCGGUGCUGGACCUCAGUGUCUGGGCAGAACAAUGGGGGUGGAGACGCUCCUUCAGGUAUACUGGACCGAGGACCUUUAGGGCUUAUGAAUGAAAAUUCACCUGCAUUGUAUUGCGAAUUUUCCAUUACACAUUUUUGCAUACAGUGGUACUGUUAGGGAACUGCCAUCGGCUCAGAGGCGAGAGAUAGAGGGGGAGUUGUGUUACAGGGAGCCUCUGAAAAUCUUGCAAAGCAGUUCCUCUUCCGGCGAGGAGGAAAGCCCAACCUCCAGUGGUGAAGAGGUGCAAGGACCAGAGGAUGCUAGAGAGAGCCUUAACACUGCGCCUGAGCAAGCUGGAGAGGAGGGAAGCGCACCCUUGCCAUCGCCCAUCAUGCGCAGUAGUUUGAGGUGCAGGGAGGGGCCGAAAAGGCUUGCGGGGAUGAAACUUUUAUGUUGGGGGAGGUACAAAAACAGAUCACUCCCAGAUUCUGCUAGUGACUGAGCCAGACAUGAACUUAUGACGCUCUUCACUGUAAAUAGUUUGCACCAAAAUAAAGCCUGUAAAAGACAGGUCAGAGUCCUGCCUGGUUACUCUCAACGCAACAGCAUUGACAGGUACCUUGGCUCUCAAACUGAAUUCAUUCCGGAAGUCUGUUCCAAAACCAAAGCGUUCCAAAACCAAGGCGUGCUUUCCCAUAGAAAGUAAUGCAAAACGGAUUAAUCCGUUCCAGACUUUUUAAAACAACCCCUAAAACAGCAAUUUAACACGAAUUUUACUAUCUAACGAGACCAUUGGUCCAUAAAAUGAAAGCAAUGAUCAAUGUACUGUACUAUAAAAUAAAUUAGACAGUAUUGUAGAUGAUAAAAAUUAAAAUCAUUUUUUUCUUACCCGCACUGAUGAUAGUCAUGGUUUGGUGGGCGGUGGCUUUUAUCCAUUUCCACAGGCACACAAUCAAUCAAUCAGUAGCUGAACUGGGCUCCACACAGUCACAAAAACAAAUUAACUGAAAAAGCCUCAAAAACGAAAACACAAAAUAAAUAGCAAAAACAAAAUCACCUAACUUAAUCCGUUCCAGAAGUCCGUUUGACUUCUGAAAUGUUCGAAAACCAAGGCGCAGCUUCUGAUUGGGGCAGGUGCCCUGGGAAGAAUAGCUGACAGCCUCAUCGGACAUUUGGCUUCUGAAAAACGUUUGAAAACCGGAACACUUACUUUGGAGUUUUCAGCAUUUGGGAACCAAGGCGUUUGAGUACCAAGGCAUGUGAGAACCAAGGUACAACUGUACUCCCCCCCCCCAUUUCUGCAAGCAAUUCCCCCCAAUAUGAUGCAUUUUCCAUGCUAUUUUCACUAGCGUGUGUAUUUUCCGCCAAAUAUACACAUCGAUGUACACAUUACUUGUUUGGACACCCACAUAGCGGCAUUUGGAGAAGUCUGGAUUUCAAAGGGCGACUGCAUUUAGGUUAAAAUAUUGGUUCAGAAAGUAGAAUGGUACCUCGGGUUACAUACGCUUCAGGUUACAUACGCUUCAGGUUACAGACUCAGCUAACCCAGAAAUAGUACCUCGGGUUACAUACGCUUCAGGUUAAAUACGCUUCAGGUUACAGAUUCCGCUAACCCAGAAAUAGUACCUCGGGUUAAGAACUUUGCUUCAGGAUGAGAACAGAAAUCUUACUCCGGUGGCACGGCAGCAGCAGGAGGCCCCAUUAGCUAAAGUGGUGCUUCAGGUUAAGAACAGUUUCGGGUUAAGUACGGACCUCCAAAACGAAUUAAGUACUUAACCCAAGGUACCACUGUACAAAUUGGGUAGGUUUGCGUUAAAAUCAUUUAAUUUAAUUAUCUUUAAAUUUCUAUACUGCCCUUCAUCCGAGGGUCACCAGUUCAAACUGAGCCGAAUUUCUCCCCUGUCUCCAGCAGCAAAGCAUUUUGGUUUUGACCUGUCCUAUUUAUUAUUCUUAUUCUUAUUAAUUCUGGUCCCACCAUAGGUGCACAGAUUCCAGGUGGAUUCCCCCCUCCCCCAUCACCUCUCGCACAAAAGAUGUACCCACCCCAUACUUCCAGCUUGCAGGAUGUGUGGCUGGGGGUGACCCAGCGAGGUGAGACGGAUGCAAGUUUGUUUUGCUUUGCUUUUUUUAAAGAAAAGGUCGCUUUCUGAUAACCAGACACAGGAAAGCAUGUGUUAUGGGGAGAUAAAUGCCUCGAGUGCACAUUGAGAUACAAGAAACAACCUGAUGCUCUUUGUGGCCCGAAAAGAGUUUAAUCUGAAUGCAACAUGCAACGUACACCUUGCUGCGGUUGCUGCAUGAAAGGAACCGAAAGAAAGGAAUGCUCACUUUUGAGAGAGGAAGAGAAAGGGAGAUUCUGUGCAGCUUUAGGGCAGAAAAUAAGUUUCUUUUCAUUCCUAUUCAUUUUUGCCCCUCUGUCAUAAUGCUAGGACCCAGGGCCAUCUGAUGACACUGAAUGAUGGGAAGUUCAGGACAGACAAGAG